GGAGGAGUGCCGGAGCGGUCGAACGGGGCGGUCUCGAAAACCGUUAGGCCCGCAAGGGUCUCGGGGGUUCGAAUCCCUCCUCCUCCG
rnacentral:tRNA from 1 species